rnacentral:rRNA from 1 species
UACGGAGGGUGCAAACGUUGCUCGGAAUCAUUGGGCGUAAAGCGCAUGUAGGCGGUUUGUUAAGUCGGAUGUGAAAGCCCUCGGCUCAACUGAGGAAGUGCACCCGAAACUGGCGAGCUUGAGUACGAAAGAGGAUCGCGGAAUUCCCGGUGUAGAGGUGAAAUUCGUAGAUAUCGGGAGGAACACCGGUGGCGAAGGCGGCGAUCUGGGUCGAUACUGACGCUGAGGUGCGAAAGCGUGGGGAGCAAACAGG